rnacentral:rRNA from 1 species
AGCGAACGCUGGCGGCAGGCUUAACACAUGCAAGUCGAGCGGGCAUCUUCGGAUGACAGCGGCAGACGGGUGAGUAACACGUGGGAACGUACCCUUCGGUUCGGAACAACUCUGGGAAACUGGAGCUAAUACCGGAUACGCCCUUAUGGGGAAAGGUUUACUGCCGAAGGAUCGGCCCGCGUCUGAUUAGCUAGUUGGUGGGGUAACGGCCUACCAAGGCGACGAUCAGUAGCUGGUCUGAGAGGAUGAUCAGCCACACUGGGACUGAGACACGGCCCAGACUCCUACGGGAGGCAGCAGUGGGGAAUAUUGGACAAUGGGCGCAAGCCUGAUCCAGCCAUGCCGCGUGAGUGAUGAAGGCCUUAGGGUUGUAAAGCUCUUUUGUCCGGGACGAUAAUGACGGUACCGGAAGAAUAAGCCCCGGCUAACUUCGUG